ensembl:lncRNA
AUUUUCAUAUUUCAAGCUGGUGGUGGCAGAGCUGCCUCUAGCCGCAGCUCUAAGGUUGCAUCCAUCUUCCCAGCUCUGGCGUGCUGCGGUGCUGCUGUGUGCUGUUUUAGGAACUGGGACCACUGUGUCGCUCCAGAGGAGACAGCACGAGACUCAAGCAGGAAGGGGGCUGCCAGAAGAAGCCCCGUGGAGAUGCGGCAUCUGUUCCAUCUUUCUCUUUCUGCUCUUGUUUUAAUCCUUCAGCUGAAAAACUUGGGCAGUGAGAUGCAGAAUUUGGCUUGGUCUGUUACACUUCAGGCAGCCUGUAUGUUUUGUAGAUUUUACUUGACACCAGGCAGUAGUCAGAAAUUAGACAUUUUUAAGUAAUACAGGUAGUAUAAAGGCAGUAUUGUUAAUAUAUUAAAGUAUUUAAUGCAUUAAAAAUACU